UACGGAGGGUGCGAGCGUUGUCCGGAAUCACUGGGCGUAAAGCGCGCGCAGGCGGCCUCGCGCGCCCGACGUGAAAGCCCCCGGCUUAACCGGGGAGGGUCGUUGGGGACGGCGGGGCUUGAGGGCGGGAGAGGUCGGUGGAAUUCCCGGUGUAGUGGUGAAAUGCGUAGAGAUCGGGAGGAACACCUGUGGCGAAGGCGGCCGACUGGGCCGACCCUGACGCUGAGGCGCGAAGGCGUGGGGAGCGAACGGG
rnacentral:rRNA from 1 species